rfam:Burkholderia glumae PG1 chromosome 2, complete sequence.
CGCAUGCAUCAAGAGUCGGGAGUCUGUUCUCCGACGCCAACCUGCCUACCCGGGCAAGGUGGAAGCCUUCAGGCGAUGCGGCCGAUAGUCGGCAACGAAACGGGACGGC